rnacentral:lncRNA from 1 species
UUUUUGAGAGUCGAGUCUGAUGUUAAACGCGUGUUGUCAAAUUUUUAAAAUCCUUUGUUCAAAUUAAUUUUUAAUCGUGAUCCUUGAAUUUUAUUUUUUGAAAAGUCAUGCAUUUGCAUUCGGUUUUUUUUAAUUAAUAUUUUUCUAACUUGUUUUUUCUUCCUUUUUUUUUUCAGCUUUAAGUUUUACGUUUUUUUAGUUGUUUUAGUAAAAAUAAAAUUUAAAAGGUUUGUGAGUUUCUCCCCACACACUGUGCACUUGCAUUUUUUGCAUAACAUGAGCUCUCUACCCAGGCUCUGUCCGUUUAAGUGGAAGUAAACGCUAUGCCUUCG